rnacentral:misc_RNA from 1 species
UUUCCGUAGGUGAACCUGCGGAAGGAUCAUUCAUAAUAAAGUGUUUUAUGGCGCCUUUUAAAAAUCCAUAUCCACCUUGUGUGCAAUGUUAGAUCUCGUCAAUCUUGGCGAGAUUUUUAUACAUCAACUCAUUCUUUAACUAAUUUGUCUGAAAAAUAUUAUGAAUACUUAAUUCAAAAUACAACUUUCAACAACGGAUCUCUUGGCUCUC